rnacentral:rRNA from 1 species
UACGUAGGGGGCUAGCGUUGUCCGGAUUCACUGGGCGUAAAGGGUGCGUAGGCGGCCGGGUAAGUCUGAUGUGAAAUCCCGCAGCUCAACUGCGGAACUGCAUCGGAUACUCUCCGGCUAGAGGAAUGGAGGGGAGACUGGAAUUCUCGGUGUAGCAGUGAAAUGCGUAGAUAUCGAGAGGAACACCAGUGGCGAAGGCGAGUCUCUGGACAUUUCCUAACGCUGAGGCACGAAAGCCAGGGGAGCAAACGGG